rnacentral:rRNA from 1 species
UGGGCAACCUGCCCCUCUCUCUGGGAUAACCCCGGGAAACCGGAGCUAAUACCGGAUACUCCGGCUGGAUCGCAUGGUCCGGCCGGGAAAGGUCCGCCGGAGAGGGAUGGGCCCGCGGCCUAUCAGCUUGUUGGUGGGGUAACGGCCUACCAAGGCGACGACGGGUAGCCGGCCUGAGAGGGUGACCGGCCACACUGGGACUGAGACACGGCCCAGACUCCUACGGGAGGCA